rnacentral:rRNA from 1 species
CAUUGUUGGAGAGUUUGAUCCUGGCUCAGGACGAACGCUGGCGGCGUGCUUAACACAUGCAAGUCGAACGAUGAAGCCUUCGGGUGGAUUAGUGGCGAACGGGUGAGUAACACGUGGGCAAUCUGCCCUGUACUUUGGGAUAAGCCUUGGAAACGAGGUCUAAUACCGGAUAUGACUGCGCAUCGCAUGGUGUGUGGUG